rnacentral:tRNA from 1 species
UGAAACAAAUAAUUGAAUAUGAAGCUUCUAACUUUAUAUUGUUAGGUUUAUAUCUUAGCUUUCUUAU